AGAGUUUGAUCAUGGCUCAGAACGUACGCUGGCGGCACGCCUAACACAUGCAAGUCGAACGAAGUAGCAAUACUUAGUGGCAGACGGGUGAGUAACAUGUAGGUAUCUACCCUUUGGCCUGGAAUAACACGAGGAAACUGUGCUAAUACGGAUAAGUCUUUACGGAGAAAGCUUUAUGCACCAUUGGAUGAGCUGCACUUGAUUAGUUUGUUGGUGGGGUAAUGGCCUACCAAGACUGUGAUCAAUAGCUGAUUUGAGAGGAUGAUCAGCCACAUUGGGACUGAGACACGGCCCAAACUCCUACGGGAGGCAGCAGUGGGGAAUCUUGCACAAUGGAGGAAACUCUGAUGCAGCGAUGCCGCGUGAGUGAAGAAGGCCCUUGGGUUGUAAAGCUCUUUCGUCGGGGAAGAAAAUGACUGUACCCGAAUAAGAAGGUCCGGCUAACUUCGUGCCAGCAGCCGCGGUAAUACGAAGGGACCUAGCGUAGUUCGGAAUUACUGGGCUUAAAGAGUUCGUAGGUGGUUGAAAAAGUUGGUGGUGAAAUCCCAGAGCUUAACUCUGGAACUGCCAUCAAAACUUUUCAGCUAGAGUAUGAUAGAGGAAAGCAGAAUUUCUAGUGUAGAGGUGAAAUUCGUAGAUAUUAGAAAGAAUACCAAUUGCGAAGGCAGCUUUCUGGAUCAUUACUGACACUGAGGAACGAAAGCAUGGGUAGCGAAGAGGAUUAGAUACCCUCGUAGUCCAUGCCGUAAACGAUGUGUGUUAGACGUUGGAAAUUUAUUUUCAGUGUCGCAGCGAAAGCGAUAAACACACCGCCUGGGGAGUACGACCGCAAGGUUAAAACUCAAAUGAAUUGACGGGGACCCGCACAAGUAGUGGAGCAUGUGGUUUAAUUCGAAGAUACGCGCAGAACCUUACCAACACUUGACAUGUUCGUCGCGACUCUAAGAGAUUAGAGUUUUCGGUUCGGCCGGACGAAACACAGGUGCUGCAUGGCUGUCGUCAGCUCGUGUCGUGAGAUGUUGGGUUAAGUCCCGCAACGAGCGCAACCCUCACUUUUAGUUGCCAUCAUUAAGUUGGG
rnacentral:rRNA from 1 species